CCUGCUCCUAGAGGCAUUACAGGUAUGGCUACCAUGUCAUAUGUACAUAAGUAGGUGACAAAGAGGAGAAAGGCUAUGUCUAUGCUUAGUGUUAUGAACUCUGAACAGCUGAAUGAUCUAUGAACAUUUGAAUGAUUACUAGCCUAACAUU
ensembl:snoRNA Gm22522 predicted gene, 22522